AUUGAACGCUGGCGGCAGGCCUAACACAUGCAAGUCGAGCGGAUGAAGGGAGCUUGCUCCUGGAUUCAGCGGCGGACGGGUGAGUAAUGCCUAGGAAUCUGCCUGGUAGUGGGGGAUAACGUCCGGAAACGGGCGCUAAUACCGCAUACGUCCUGAGGGAGAAAGUGGGGGAUCUUCGGACCUCACGCUAUCAGAUGAGCCUAGGUCGGAUUAGCUAGUUGGUGGGGUAAAGGCCUCCCAAGGCGACGAUCCUUAACUGGUCUGAGAGGAUGAUCAGCCAAACGGGACAGGGGACACGUGCCAGACCCCUACGGGAGGGAGGAGGGGGGAAUAUGGGAAAAGGGGCGAAAGCCUGAUCCAGCCAGGCCGCGGGUGUGAAGAAGGUCUUCGGAUUGUAAAGCAUUUUAAGUUGGGAGGAAGGGCAGUAAUUUAAUACCUUGCUUUUUUGGCGUUACAAACAGAAAAAGCACCGGCUGACUUCGU
rnacentral:rRNA from 1 species